rnacentral:tRNA from 1 species
GGAGAUGUAGCUCAAUGGUAGGGUGCUUGCCUGGCACGCUAAAGGCCCUGGGUUCAUUCCCCAGUACCAUUA